AGGAAACUUCAGGGAAGAUUGUUGAUAUGGAAUCCACUGAGGGGACCCCUGAGGAAGUUCAGCUGAAUGAUGAAGAAAAGAAUUACCUGAAACAGCUGGUCAAAAUCAACCAGUAUCAACAGAAGUUCACCUUCCCCCACUAUUUCCAGGCUGUUCAUCCACAGCAGAUAGCUCUGAACCCUUGGAAUCGCCUUAAGGAAAAUACUUACCCAUUCAUUCUCACUUUGGCUUGACUGGAAAAAUCAUUUCUAUAUAGUUUCUUCAUCUAUCAUAUCACCUCAUACCAAUAUGUUGACUGCUUCUUGAAAGGGCAACACUCCUGAGCCAAAGGAAGAUUGUGUAACACUGUUUGUAUUCCUCCUUUCGGUUCAUGUUGGAUAUGCUAGAUCUGGAUUGCGGUAUCAUUUUAACUGUAUCGACCGAUUAACUGAACUCUGCAGCAUGAUGGCUGAGUCACAGAACCCCACAUCUCUUGCCAAAACAUUAAAA